UACGGAGGGGGCUAGCGUUGCUCGGAAUCACUGGGCGUAAAGGGUGCGUAGGCGGGUCUUUAAGUCAGGGGUGAAAUCCUGGAGCUCAACUCCAGAACUGCCUUUGAUACUGAGGAUCUCGAGUUCGGGAGAGGUGAGUGGAACUGCGAGUGUAGAGGUGAAAUUCGUAGAUAUUCGCAAGAACACCAGUGGCGAAGGCGGCUCACUGGCCCGAUACUGACGCUGAGGCACGAAAGCGUGGGGAGCAAACAGG
rnacentral:rRNA from 1 species